ensembl:lncRNA
AAAUGAUCAGAAUGAUGUGUUCUCUAAUUUUUGUCAGGAAGUAGCUAGCAAACUAGCCAAUUUAAGACAGUUAACUUGGGUGCUUGACUGCCGUUGUGUGGUCAGAACGCUCGGAUCAACUCCGUUAGAGCGUCCAGUCUGCGCUCUGAACGCUCCUGGAGCGAAUCGCUCUGAAUUUAUGAACAGACAAUCUGACGAUUCUGAAUUUACGAACGACAGGAGCGCACUCGAGAGGGAUUUUACGAACACACUCUUAGUCUAUCUUCAUAAUUUAAUGUCUUUGGUUAGAUCAUACGUGGUGCCACCACAUUUCCAAACUGUCUACGAGCGGCAUCUACCGGAUUUAUACCGUGCAUGCAUAAAUAAUGGCUUCCAUGCAAUGUUGUAUGGGAGAGGGCGCAAAAGAGCGAUCCUGUUUAUUCUGACUCGCUUGCUAACACACAAAACCAAUGACAAACAGAGGCUCUGCUGUUAAUACGGUCCAAAAUUAUCCAUCAACCCGGAUGUAGAAUUUUUAGGAUUCUCUUCCCCUCAUUUUAUUUGACAUAUGCUAUUGUUGCUAACUGCGUCAAAAAUAGAACAUGUUCUAGACCGGGCUAGACAGUGUCGGGUAAACUGUGACAGCUGACUGCACUGGUAGCCACGCCUACUGAAGAGAGCGAACGGAUUCUUGGCAGCCAACUAACUAAAAGAUAACUCAGAGGACCUAUCAUCUGUCAAAGUGACAUCUAAAAUGAACUUCUGCGGAAGAAAAUAUAAGCGGGGCAGCAACUGGUCUUAACCAGAGGUGGCAGAACUCCUCCGGCAGUAGUCAGAUGAGUCGGUCCAACUAGAGCUGGAGAGUUUCCUCAGAAAUCAACAUGUUUUCAACCGAAUAGCGGAUGUCCUGCGAGAGAAAGGCAUCUAUCACACCGGCG